rnacentral:rRNA from 1 species
CCUACGGGUGGCAGCAGUGGGGAAUAUUGGGCAAUGGAGGAAACUCUGACCCAGCAACGUCGCGUGAAGGAUUAAGGCUCUCGGAUUGUAAACUCCUGUUGCGCGGGAUGAAGAAUGACGGUACCUCGUGAGGAAGCCCCGGCAAACUACGUGCCAGCAGCCGGGGCAAUACGUGGGGGGCAAGCGUUGUCCGGAAUGACUGGGCGUAAAGGGGGUGUAGGCGGCCUUUUAAGUUAUUUGUGAAAGCCCCCGGCUUAACCGAGGAACUGCAUAUAAAACUGGGGGGCUGGAGUGCAGGAGAGGUAAGCGGAAUGUCUAGUGUAGCGGUGGAAUGCGUAGAUAUUAGGAAGAACACCGGAGGCGAAGGCGGCUUACUGGACUGUAACUGACGCUGAGGCUCGAAAGCGUGGGGAGCGAACAGGAUUAGAUACCCCAGUAGUC